CUAAGAAUAUUCCGCAAUGGGCGAAAGCCUGACGGAGCGACGCCGCGUGGAUGACGAAGGCCGAAAGGUUGUAAAAUCCUUUUGCGGGCGAAGAAUAAGCGGGGCAGGGAAUGGCUCCGCGAUGACGUUAGCCUGCGAAGAAGCCCCGGCUAAUUACGUGCCAGCAGCCGCGGUAACACGUAAGGGGCGAGCGUUGUUCGGAAUUAUUGGGCGUAAAGGGCGCGUAGGCGGUUAUGUAAGUCUGGCGUGAAAGGCGGGAGCUUAACUCCCGGACUGCGUUAGAAACUGUAUAACUUGAGUCACGGAGGGGGAACCGGAAUUCCUGGUGUAGGGGUGAAAUCUGUAGAUAUCAGGAAGAACACCGGUGGCGAAGGCGGGUUUCCAGCCGAUGACUGACGCUGAGGCGCGAAAGUGCGGGGAGCAAACAGGAUUAGAUACCCUGGUAGUCCGCACUAUAAACGAUGUGCACUAGGUGUUGGGGCGAGCGUCUCAGUGCCGGAGCGAACGUGAUAAGUGCACCGCCU
rnacentral:rRNA from 1 species